GGGUGAGUGGUGGAACUGGUAGACACGAGGGACUUAAAAUCCCUUGGCUCAUAGUAGCCGUGCGGGUUCAAGUCCCGCCUCGCCCA
rnacentral:tRNA from 2 species